rnacentral:rRNA from 1 species
AGCGGACUUGAUGAGAAGUUGCUUCUCUGAGAGUUAGCGGCGGACGGGUGAGUAACACGUAGGCAACCUGCCUGUAAGAUCGGGAUAACUACCGGAAACGGUAGCUAAGACCGGAUAAUCGGUUUCUCCGCAUGGGGAGAUCGUGAAACACGGAGCAAUCUGUGGCUUACGGAUGGGCCUGCGGCGCAUUAGCUAGUUGGUGAGGUAACGGCUCACCAAGGCGACGAUGCGUAGCCGACCUGAGAGGGUGAACGGCCACACUGGGACUGAGACACGGCCCAGACUCCUACGGGAGGCAGCAGUAGGGAAUCUUCCGCAAUGGACGCAAGUCUGACGGAGCAACGCCGCGUGAGUGAUGAAGGUUUUCGGAUCGUAAAGCUCUGUUGCCAGGGAAGAACGCCAAGGAGAGUAACUGCUCUUUGGGUGACGGUACCUGAGAAGAAAGCCCCGGCUAACUACGUGCCAGCAGCCGCGGUAAUACGUAGGGGGCAAGCGUUGUCCGGAAUUAUUGGGCGUAAAGCGCGCGCAGGCGGUUUUUUAAGUCUGGUGUUUAAUCCCGAGGCUCAACCUCGGUUCGCACCGGAAACUGGGAGACUGGAGUGCAGGAGAGGAAAGUGGAAUUCCACGUGUAGCGGUGAAAUGCGUAGAGAUGUGGAGGAACACCAGUUGGCGAAGGCGACUUUCUGGCCUGUAACUGACGCUGAGGCGCGAAAGCGUGGGGAGCAAACAGGAUUAGAUACCCUUGGUAGUCCACGCCGUAAACGAUGCAUGCUAGGGUGUUAGGGGGUUUCGAUACCCUUGGGUGCCGAAGUUAACACAAGUAAGCAUGGCCGCCUGGGGGAGUACGCUCCGCAAGAGUGAAACUCCAAGGGAAUUUGACGGGGGACCCGCACAAGCAAGUGGGAGUAUGGGGGUUUAAUUCCAAAGCAACGG